CCUACGGGGGGCAGCAGUGGGGAAUAUUGGACAAUGGGCGAAAGCCUGAUCCAGCAAUGCCGCGUGAGUGAUGAAGGCCUUCGGGUCGUAAAGCUCUUUUACCAGGGAUGAUAAUGACAGUACCUGGAGAAUAAGCUCCGGCUAACUCCGUGCCAGCAGCCGCGGUAAUACGGAGGGAGCUAGCGUUGUUCGGAAUUACUGGGCGUAAAGAGUACGUAGGCGGCUAUUCAAGUCAGAGGUGAAAGCCCGGGGCUCAACCCCGGAACUGCCUUUGAAACUA
rnacentral:rRNA from 1 species